ACCUACAGAAGCAGCCCCAUUCGAUGAAGUACAGGAGGGCAAGGAGGGUCCAUCGCAGGGGCUAGGUGACCAUCUGGGGUGCCUGGUGAUCCUGCACUGGAUGCCUGGCCACAGCUGCAAGGUUACGGGGGGCAGCCUGGGAGACCCCACAGAGGAGGCUGGGGCCUUCCUUCAUCCAGGCUUCAUCACUCACGUCCAGGAGCCCCCACUCUGGUCCUCAGGAGCCUCUCCGCCACCCUCAGCAGAGUGAAGCUGAUGGUCAUGACCUCACCCCGAAGAGCUCCAGGGCCACCUCUUCUCUGAGCCCCAGCUUCUGCUCCCCAGCCUCCUCUACUGACCCGGCUCACUGUGUGCCCGCAGCAGGACAGAGCCGGCUUCUGGUGGCUGGGUGCCCCAGGAAUAUCUGCAGGAGCCCACGCUGCAGGCCACGUGGAUGCUGCGCCCCCGGCUUCCAGGCUGUGGACCCAGGCUGGGCUUGAAUCCAAGAGGCCCGACCCCUCCUGGGUGUUUGGCUGAAUCAAUGUUUAAUUAAAUAUUUAUUCAUUUCCAGU
rnacentral:lncRNA from 1 species